rnacentral:rRNA from 1 species
UGGGGAAUAUUGCACAAUGGGCGCAAGCCUGAUGCAGCCAUGCCGCGUGUGUGAAGAAGGCCUUCGGGUUGUAAAGCACUUUCAGCGGGGAGGAAGGGAGUAAAGUUAAUACCUUUGCUCAUUGACGUUACCCGCAGAAGAAGCACCGGCUAACUCCGUGCCAGCAGCCGCGGUAAUACGGAGGGUGCAAGCGUUAAUCGGAAUUACUGGGCGUAAAGCGCACGCAGGCGGUCUGUCAAGUCGGAUGUGAAAUCCCCGGGCUUAACCUGGGAACUGCAUUCGAAACUGGCAGGCUAGAGUCUUGUAGAGGGGGGUAGAAUUCCAGGUGUAGCGGUGAAAUGCGUAGAGAUCUGGAGGAAUACCGGUGGCGAAGGCGGCCCCCUGGACAAAGACUGACGCUCAGGUGCGAAAGCGUGGGGAGCAAACAGG